rnacentral:rRNA from 1 species
GACGAACCGUGCGACCGUUGUUCGGAAUCACUGGGCUUAAAGGGCGCGUAGGCGGCUCUCUUGGUCGUGGGUGAAAUCCCCCAGCUUAACUGGGGAAGGGCUUACGAUACCGGGGGGCUCGAGGGAGGAGGGGGCGGUCGGAACUGUCGGUGGAGCGGUGAAAUGCGUUGAUAUCGACAGGAACGCCGGUGGCGAAAGCGGACCGCUGGCCCUCUUCUGACGCUGAGGCGCGAAAGCCAGGGGAGCGAACGGG